UGGAAUUGGUUCUGUCAUGUCAGUCAGAUUGCAUUCACGAUGAUUUGAAAAGAUUGACGAAUUUUUGAAUAUAAAACUAGCCAAAGAACAACAAAUGUCUUAGCAAAUGGCAGUGUUGACGUAUUUAUUAUAUAUUUUUAUUACUUCAGCCACAGGAUUUUUUAUAUAAUACAUCGUACAUCGUCCAAAGAGAAGUUCACGCGUCGGAAACUCGCCCUCAGCGCGUUAUAAUUUCAUCCGAAGGGCGUUACCAUUAGACAAAAAUAAUUGGAAAUUAAAUGGU